AGCAGCCGCGGUAAUUCCAGCUCCAAUAGCGUAUAUUAAAGUUGUUGCAGUUAAAAAGCUCGUAGUUGAAUUUCGGGAUCAGUUGAUCGGUCGUGCCUCGGUACGUACUGGUCAAAUUGAUUCCUACCUUCUGACGAACCACGAUGUCAUUAAUUUGGUGUCGUGGGAAAUCAGGACUGUUACUUUGAAAAAUUAGAGUGUUUAAAGCAGGCUCGCGCUUGAAUACAUUAGCAUGGAAUAAUGAAAUAGGACGUUUGAUUCUAUUUUGUUGGUUUCUAGGACCGACGUAAUGAUUAAUAGGGAUAGUUGGGGGCAUUAGUAUUCAAUUGUCAGAGGUGAAAUUCUUGGAUUUAUUGAAGACUAACUACUGCGAAAGCAUUUGCCAAGGAUGUUUUCAUUAAUCAAGAACGAAAGUUAGGGGAUCGAAGACGAUCAGAUACCGUCGUAGUCUUAACCAUAAACUAUGCCGACUAGGGAUCGGAUGAUGUUAAUUUUUUAAUGUACUCAUUCGGCGUCCUUA
rnacentral:misc_RNA from 1 species